GACAGAGGGGGCAAGCGUUGCUCGGAAUCACUGGGCGUAAAGGGCGCGUAGGCGGGAUGGCAAGUCGGUCGUGAAAUCCCUGGGCUCAACUCAGGGGGGUCGGCCGAUACUGCCGUUCUUGAGGGAUGCAGAGGAGACUGGAAUUCCCGGUGUAGCGGUGAAAUGCGUAGAUAUCUGGAGGAACACCGGUGGCGAAGGCGGCAUCCUGGACCGACACUGACGCUGAGACACGAAAGCGUGGGUAGCAAACAGGAUUGAGAUACCCCA
rnacentral:rRNA from 1 species